rnacentral:rRNA from 1 species
AAGCAUGCAAGUCGAACGGUAGACUGGUGCUUGCACCGGUUGAGAGUGGCGCACGGGUGAGUAACACGUAGGUGAUCUACCUCUGGAUUGGGGAUAGCCGUGUGGAAACACAGGGUAAUACCGAAUACGAGCGAGCGGCUGUAGCCGCUUGGGGAAAGGCCCUCAGGGGUCGUCCGGAGAUGAGCCUGCGGUCCAUUAGCUGGUUGGUGUGGUAACGGCGCACCAAGGCGACGAUGGAUAGCCGGCCUGAGAGGGUGAACGGUCACACUGGGACUGAGACACGGCCCAGACUCCUACGGGAGGCAGCAGCUAAGAAUCUUCCGCAAUGGGCGCAAGCCUGACGGAGCGACGCCGCGUGAACGAAGAAGGCCGUGAGGUUGCAAAGUUCUUUUCCUGGGGAGGAAUAAGGCUCGGAGGGAAUGCCGAGACGAUGACGUGAACCAGGGAAUAAGCCCCGGCUAAUUCCGUGCCAGCAGCCGCGGUAACACGGAAGGGGCAAGCGUUGUUCGGAUUUAUUGGGCGUAAAGGGCGUGUAGGCGGCAGUGCAAGUCUGGUGUGAAAUACUCCGGCUCAACCGGAGAGGCGCGCUGGAAACUGUGCUGCUUGAGUUUAGGAGGGGGAGCUGGAAUUCCUGGUGUAGGGGUGAAAUCUGUAGAGAUCAGGAAGAACACCGGAGGCGAAGGCGAGCUCCUGGCCAUAGACUGACGCUGAGGCGCGAAAGCGUGGGGAGCGAACAGGAUUAGAUACCCUGGUAGUCCACGCUGUAAACGAUGUGCACUAGGUGUUGGGGAUGAUGAUCCUCGGUGCCGCAGCUAACGCGUUAAGUGCACCGCCUGGGGAGUAUGCUCGCAAGGGUGAAACUCAAAGGAAUUGACGGGGGCUCACACAAGCGGUGGAGGAUGUGGCUUAAUUCGAGGCUACGCGAAGAACCUUAUCCUGGUCUUGACAUGCUUGAGAAUCCUCUCGAAAGAGAGGAGUGCCUUUCGGGGAGCUCUUGCGCAGGUGCUGCAUGGCUGUCGUCAGUUCGUGUCGUGAGAUGUCGGGUUAAGUCCCUAAACGAGCGAAACCCUUAUCCCUAGUUGCCAGCGGGUCAUGCCGGGGACUCUAGGGAGACUGCUGGUGUUAAACCGGAGGAAGGUGGGGAUGACGUCAAGUCCUCAUGGCCUUUAUGAUCAGGGCUGCACACGUCCUACAAUGGAUCGUACAACGGGAAGCGAUCUCACGAGAGCAAGCAAAUCCCUAAAAGCGGUCCUCAGUUCGGAUUGCAGGCUGCAACUCGCCUGCAUGAAGCUGGGAUCGCUAGUAAUCGCGGGUCAGCAUACCGCGGUGAAUGUGUUCCUGAGCCUUGUACACACCGCCCGUCAAGCCACGAAAGUGGGGGGUCGAUGUAGUCGCCGAGCUAACCCGAAAGGGAGGCAAGCGCCGAAUCG